rnacentral:rRNA from 1 species
UGCUUUGACAGCUAGGAUGUUGGCUUGGAAGCAGCCAUUCAUUUAAAGAGUGCGUAACAGCUCACUAGUCGAGCGGUCGCGCGUGGAUAAUAAUCGGGCAUAAGCAUGAUACCGAAGCCGUGGAAGAGCGCGCUAGCGCGUUUUUGGUAGGGGAGCAUUCCAAAUGCGCCGAAGGCGGGUCGCGAGUCCCGUUGGAGCGUUUGGAAAAGAAAAUGUAGGCAUAAGUAACGAUAAGGCGGGCGAGAAACCCGCCCACCGAAAGACCAAGGUUUCCUGAUCAACGCUAAUCGGAUCAGGGUUAGUCGGGUCCUAACGGUAAGCCGAAGGGCGAAUCCGGAUGGACAACCGGUCAACAUUCCGGUACCACCGCCGGGCGCGAUGGGGCGACGGAGAAGUGACAGGUCCGCGCGCUGACGGAAUAGCGCGUUGAAGGGUGUAGUUUUACGAUGUCGUUAAGAGCGUCGUCGUGGCGAACCUGACAGUACCGCGAGCCCCAGGGCGAGCGGAUAGCGGCCGUAACCAAGCUCCCGAGAAAACCCCCUAAGCUUCAGUCUGGUGGUGCCCGUACCCCAAACCGACACAGGUGGUCGAGGAGAGAAUCCUAAGGUGCUCGAGUGAUCCGUGGCCAAGGAACUAGGCAAAAUUGACCUGUAACUUUGGGAAAAAGGUUUCCAUAGCGAUAUGGACGCAGAGAAGUGGCCCAGGCGACUGUUUAGCAAAAACACAUGGCUUUGCGAAAUCGCAAGAUGAAGUAUAAGGCCUGACACCUGCCCGGUGCCGGAAGGUUAAGAGGGGACGUUAUCGCGAGAGAAGCGUUGAAUCGAAGCCCCGGUAAACGGCGGCCGUAACUAUAACGGUCCUAAGGUAGCGAAAUUCCUUGUCGGGUAAGUUCCGACCUGCACGAAUGGUGUAACGAUCUGGGCGCUGUCUCGGCCACGAGCUCGGUGAAAUUGUAGUCCCGGUGAAGAUGCCGGGUACCCGCAACGGGACGGAAAGACCCCGUGAACCUUUACUACAGCUUAACAUUGAUUUUGGGCAAGUGAUGUGUAGGAUAGGCCGGAGGCUUAGAACCGGGUUCGCCAGGAUCCGGGGAGCCGUCCUUGAAAUACGGCCCUUCAUUUGCCCGGAACCUAAUCCCUUUGGGGAGACAUUGUUUGGCGGGUAGUUUGACUGGGGUGGUCGCCUCCCAAAGAGUAACGGAGGCUUCUCAAGGUGCCCUCAGCACGAUUGGUAACCGUGCGCAGAGUGUAAUGGCACAAGGGCGCUUGACUGCGAGACCUACAAGUCGACCAGGUACGAAAGUAGAGCAUAGUGAUCCGGUGGUUCCGUAUGGAAGGGCCAUCGCUCAAAGGAUAAA